AACAGUAUUUUUUGGUUUGUGAUAAAAUCUUAUGGAAAAUGGUAUACCUUUCCUAUUGUCAGUACUGGUAAUUGCUUCCAAUGAGAGGAUUUGAUCCAAUAUUUGAGUUAUUGUUUUAAAUAUUUUCCAGGUGUCAUGAGGACAUGUCUGUGAGAAUGAUAGAUCACAUUGUCGAUUUCCACCAUAUUGAUAUUGAUGCUGAAUGCCUAAAGAAAGCAAAGGAUAUGGUCAUUGCAAGCACAGAACAUGUUUCUCAUAAAGGUGUGAAUGAAAAGCAUUUCCUAUAUUAUAUUGUUGCAA